UGGGGAAUUUUGGACAAUGGGCGCAAGCCUGAUCCAGCCAUGCCGCGUGAGUGAAGAAGGCCUUCGGGUUGUAAAGCUCUUUCGGCGGGGACGAAACGGUUCGUGACAACACCACGGACUAAUGACGGUACCCGCAUAAGAAGCACCGGCUAACUACGUGCCAGCAGCCGCGGUAAUACGUAGGGUGCAGGCGUUAAUCGGAAUUACUGGGCGUAAAGCGUGCGCAGGCGGUUUGUUAAGACAGGUGUGAAAUCCCCGGGCUUAACCUGGGAAUUGCGCUUGUAACUGGCAGGCUAGAGUGUGGCAGAGGGGGGUGGAAUUCCACGUGUAGCAGUGAAAUGCGUAGAUACUGGGAGGAACAUCUGAGGCGAAGGCGACUAUCUGGAUCACAACUGACGCUGAGGUACGAAAGCAUGGGUAGCAAACAGGAUUAGAUACCCUAGUAGUCCCUGAGCGGGCUGGCAAGGCGCAU
rnacentral:rRNA from 1 species